AUGCCGCGCCCCACCACCUCGCUCCGCGCUCCGAGCCGCCGCCGGCGGCUUCUGAAAAACCCCAUCGCCCCCGCAUCCGUCAACUCCUCCUCUGCUACCAGCGGUCGCCGAGGCGGGCCCUGUACCCCGAAGCUGCGAUGGAGCGUCAGGGAGAGCCAGGAGGGCGUCAGCGAGCAGAAGGCGCCGAGGGCUUCGUCCGUGAGGCGGUUAGCGGCCGCGGUGUGGCGCCUGUGGCCGCCGGAGGAGGCGCCCGCCGCAGAGCACCAGGGAAAAUCUCGUGUCGGCCUCGAGUUUAUACCGAGACAUCUGCAAGUCCAGCUUCUCAGGAAGGAUCAUCUUGGUCACAAACAUGGUCUGAAGAUUGAGACUUCAAGCCCCAAUUCCGUUUUGGAGCAACACAGCGGAGAGCUCCACAAAGUUAAACUUCAUCUCGCCUCAGCUUUGAUGCCGAUCACCGGCUUGGAGAAUGCAACAAAGUGUAAGUCUGAGAGCGUACAGGGGGGUGAAUUGGAUGGUGCCUAUGUGAUUGCCAACCAACUUGAUCUCAUUGGAAAACAGCAAGGGCAAACUCAUGCUAAUAUACUCCAGAUGGAGCUCCAGCGUGCACAAGAUAGGGUGGGCAAGCUAGAAGCUGAGCGUGUUUCAGCUAAGAAGCAGCUUGACCGCUUGUUGGAGAAACUGAGGGAGGGGAAAUCAGCCUGGCGGAGGAGAGAACACAAGAAGGCCCAAUCCAUUCUUGAGGAUAUGAAGGCAGACCUCGACCAUGAGAAGAAGAACCGGAGGCAACUAGAGAACAUUAACUUGAAGCUCGUUGAUGAGUUGAAGGAGGUCAAAUUGGCAGCCAAUAAUCUGUUGGAGGAGUAUGACAAGGAGAGGAAGACACGGGAAAUGACCGAGGAGGUGUGCAACAAACUGGUGAGGGAGGUCGAGGAACAAAAAUCCGAUAUUGAAGUCUUGGAGCGGGACUUUGUGGAACUGCGGGAGGAGGUGGAUGAGGACAGAAAGUUGCUACAGAUGGCCGAGGUGUGGCGGGAAGAGCGGGUGCAGAUGAAACUUGUGGAUGCAAGGCUCACUCUCGAAGACAAAUACGGUGAGCUAAGCAAAUUGCAACAGGAUGUUGAGGCCUUUGUCGCCUCUUUGGGUUGUGCCAAGGGAGACAGCAGCAUUCUAGUAGGAGAAGCAGAGAAAAUUAUAAGGGAAAUUAGCUUGGUGAGGGACCUGGAGGUUCAAUUCAAGUAUGAGCCGCCUGCAGCAUCGGAGGAAAUAUUAGCCAUAUUCAAGGAGCUCCGCCCGAGCCAAGAGCUCGGACGAUGCAAGGUGCAGAGGUCUUCACUAGAUGAAUUAGAAAUUCAACAAGCUAUCGGCCAAAUGGCUGAUGUAUGCCUGGAGAACCUAACCAAUCGAAGCCCUUGCCAAGACAGUGAAAUAGAAGAUGAGAGCAGCUGGGAGACUACAAGCCACCAAGACUUUCAGGGUUCAAGCUUUUCACGGAACGGGAAUGGAAGCGAACCUUCAGUCAACAAUGUAUGUGACAGAAUUUCCUGGACGAGUGGAGACAAUUCGGAGGUCUGGCAGAAUGACGUGAGCAAUAUCAAAGUUGUGGAGCACGAGAAGAAACAGUCGGCAAUAUCAAAGUUCUCGAGGCCUUGCCCUCGGAACAACCAUGAAAUCCACCAGGUGGAUGUGGAGGUGGAUCUAGUAAACUCGUUGAACAGACGUAUGUAUUACGACGCUGGCGAAGCUGCAGAUCGGGGUAUGGGACAGAGCUCCCCGAGCAUGGGACCAUGGAGCUCGCCGUCGCCGGACUCGAUGAACCGUGGCUUCACAGGCUGCAUGGAGCUGGUCCAGAGGCACAGUCUGAAAGCAAAGCUUCUAGAAGCUCGAAUGGAGAGCCAGAAGAUCCAGCUCCGCCGCGUGCUCAACCAUACAACCUGA
rnacentral:rRNA from 1 species